CACCAGGCCAGAAAAGUGUGACCGCCCUGCCCCAGACCGACAUGGUGGCCAGGGACCUUAAAUACCUAAGGGGGAGCAGGGAGGUGGAUAUAUAAGACCAGGCAAAGACUGGGCCUAGACACAGAGGAGCUUGAGAGAACCACCAGCGAACCAUGUGGAGCUUUGUCCUGCUAGCCUUUGUGACCUUGUUGCCAAGGACUGUGGCCAUGGAGACUACUACUGUGACCUCCAACGUCACUGGGACUCCAGAUCAGACCCUUGCAAACACGACCACACCUCCAACGAACCACUCCUCACAGACCACCUUUACCUCAGUCAACAGCACCACUCUCCAUCAAUCAACUGGAGCCACACCCAGCACCAGUAACGUUACCACGGAAACCUUCAACAGCAGCCAGACUCAAUCCCCCAAUACGACCACAGCAGGUAUAGGGACUCCCGCCAUCAGUACCAAUGCCACUCAAUCCACCACCACUGGCCACUCCAUUACUCCCUCCUCCCAAGCUUCCACCCUUUCCCCAAGCACUGAACUCAACCCGACAACCAAAAUAGAGGACCCUCCCUCUCGUACAACCCAGCCGCCCACUGGGGGCAGCUCUGCCCUUCUGGGGUCCCUGUACCUCGUCUGGGCUCCUCUGCUCUCCAUCCUCCACCUGAUGCUGAUGUAGGAGAGACAACAAACCCGUCCCGUCGGAGAGUACUGUUGAGUAGAACAUGUUGUAUGGAGUUUAAAAGAGCUAUGAAGUGCUUCUGGACCCGCGGACAAAGUGCGGAGCUUCUUACCGUACAUAAAGAACUGGUUCUUAUUCAAGUUGGUUUUAAAUAAUGUCUCAAACAUGUGAUACACCUUUCUGAUGAAUAGGAUCUUGUGUACACACCAAAACAAACACACACACACAGACACACUCCGCACACAGAAACUGGGAAAAUUGUGACAAGGAGUGUCUUGGCAUGACCAAACAACAUUGUGCAACACAAUGUACAUCAUGUUUUAACAUCUCUCAAAGCGUUGUUCAUAUCUAGAAGUCACAGCUGGGCAUGCUUUACAUAGAUGAGCAUUGUGAUUUGCAAUUGUAUGGGCAUAUGUGAAGCCUUCGGUGACAUUGCUUGUAAACAUGGCUGUACAAAUGACAUUUUAUUUGAUCUGAUGUCUUUACCCUGGGUUAGGGGAUUGGGGUCAUAGACAAAUAGGCGAUAGGCAGCGUGAGUAAAGACAGUGAAUCGCUAGAACAAUCACCCAAGGAGGUCUUCAAUCAACAUUCACGUUUAGGUAUCUGAACACUCACACAUGCACCUUAUUUUCAAAUAUCUGAUUGUGGCAUCAUUUGCAAAGAACGAGAUAAAUUAGCUUGGGUGAUGUGAACAUAUCUCAUGCCUUUCUUUUCAGAACACUAUGUCCACUAGAUGAAAAGUUAUUGAUUUACACCAAGUUUAACUAAACAGGUACAGUAAAGAGAAUUCUUUGGUGUGUUUUCUAAAGGAAACCCAGAUGGAUUGUCAGAGACAAGCCUUUAGGUUGUGCAAUUCAGAGAUAGAAUUGAACAUGUUGCGGAAAACGCAUGCAUCAAUAGACAAUCUCAAGCACCAUAAAACUGAUAUUCAUCUCCCUUUAAAACAUACAGUGAACGAUUAUGACAGUUAUUGAACCAACAAGACAAGGAGCAAAGAAAAAUAUAUAGCUAUGACCACCUUCACAAAUAUUCUCUACACCAGGACUGACAUAUUGGUCGAUGUACCUGUGGUUUUGGGCAAUCUGCUCCAUUGUAGCUAACUUCCUGGAGGCAGCUUGUGGUAGGCUGAGGGUGAUUUGGGUAUAUUAUAAAAGACUCUCUCUCUGAGCAGCAUUCAGACUACAGGGAACUACCUUGCAGCCAGAACAGGACAGACGAAAACCGAGUCAGCCCAGGAUAGAACCAGGAGAACUGAGUUAACCCAGGAUAGACCCAGGACAUCAUUUGACCUUGUAAAACCUGAUUUAACUUCUGCUGUCAGAUCAUCAUCCUUUGUCUUUGAUAUGAAGUACCUGAGUCUGAGCUUCACAUUUGCCAUCCUGGUUUGUUCCUUUGCACAGGGUAGCACAACCAUGGUGAAUUCAACAACCGCAAAUGCUUCACCAGCCAUAACAAAUAUGACCACUUCAAUGCCUGUCAGCGCUGAAAACACCACCAACACCAAUUCCAACAACACCACAACAGCAGGGUCGAGCAUUUCUUCAACCCCCAAAUCAGGGGACAGCAUUGUUACACACUCAAUAACUCUGUUGUCAGGCACCCUGCUUCUACAUUCUCUGUGGCAUUAAGUUCCCACAGAGAAUGUGACCACUAUUUGUUUAUCUUUUCUACUCGCUUACCUGUCUUCAAUCAUUGUUGUCUUGCCAUGUCUGUUUCAUAAGAUGCAUUCAUAUAGUUUGUGAAAUAUCAACAAAAAAAAGGUUUAUUUUCAAAUGCACCCAUUUGUGCGUUUUUGUGCAAUAGGAAAUGUUAUGUACUGUGUUGCUCUUUUUACUGCUUCGUCAAUUGUUAUAUCCUAAUAUUUUUAUCAGUAUAUGAAGGUCGAAUUUGACCAACGAAUAUUCAACAAAAUAGCUGUCAGCGCAAUACAAGUGACUACAAGGCAAUGUCAAAAAUGUAUUUUACGUACAACUGUGAAAGACUUCAGACCGCCCAUGCACUGCUCCUCAUGACACUGGGCAACACCUGCAGUGUGGUCCAUGUUAAGAGUCUCCAUGGUCGUUGUAAAAAGCAAAUGGACAUCUAAUGCGAAAUUAAGACUUCAUCAUAUAUCAUGGCCUAACAUGCUCUAACAUACACGUUUCAGACAUCGAUCUCGUGAUCGGCUUGAAGCAGAGUCUCAUCCAAACACAUUAGUCAAACAUAUUCAGAUGUGAUUCACAUCACAUCAACUGUCCAUACAUAAGGACAAUACAGAGGGACAGUCACUGAUUGGCCGUCAUCAGCCACCACCAUCAUCACCAGUGUCUAGACUCAAUAGGGAGAUUUACCUUGCUGCUGCUCAGGGCAGACACCCCUCGAUUACCAAAUUUCGCUAUAAAGUCUGAGCGCCAAAGGGUCCAUGACGCCAUCAUUAUUCAUUCAUAAACAAUGCUAUUUACAUCAUUUAGGCUACUGCUCUCAUCUGAUUGAAAUUAACCCUGGACACGAACAGGCCUCAAUCUCACUUUAAUCAAUCUUCAUAAAACGUAAUCUGCUCGCUCUUAACUUCAAUCAUGUGAGUUAUGUUUAUGAUUUCUAAAAUAAAUGAAUCAUUGAUUGUACAUAUUAUACAUUUCAUUAAGAUUCAAUUAUUAGACUUCUUAUCUUGACACAAGACUAUUUUCUAUCUUUCUGAUAGACCAGUUCAUUCUGUUCAUUGAAACCAAACCAUUUCUCAUAGCAAAUUCAUAAUCUAACUUAAUCAUUUGAUUAAUAUUUACUUCACUUUACUAAAUUCUUUGUAAGGGUUAGGGUUAGGGUUAACCCUAACCCUAUAUUUUGCGUGUGCGUGUUGACCAUUGUUAUUAUUUGCUCUACAGAAUACUGGUUCUUACUUAAAUAUCAAGUUUCCUUGAUUUGCCAGAAGGAAAUAUUUAGGUGGUGCCCCCCUAGAUAAAAAAAUAUGUAUAAAUUAAGUAUAUCUUUUCUUAAUAACCACGCUCCCUACACGUUCUUAUUUUCCAAGUUCGUAUCAGUAUUUCCUUGUUCUCAGAACCAUUCACCAGCUGCAUGUCCUAUCCAGUUUGCUUAUGUGGUGUCAUGUCCCUGGGUUGGACCUGCCCUUUUCGUUCUCUACCUGUCUGUUCUUUGUCUGUCGGUCCCUUUUUAUUUUCAAUUAAAGGCUCCUGCGUUCCUGUCCAGACGCUCGGUGUUAACUACCA